UAUACUGCAGUCGAGCGGACAGAUGGGAGCUUGCUCCCUGAUGUUAGCGGCGGACGGGUGAGUAACACGUGGGUAACCUGCCUGUAAGACUGGGAUAACUCCGGGAAACCGGGGCUAAUACCGGAUGGUUGUUUGAACCGCAUGGUUCAAACAUAAAAGGUGGCUUCGGCUACCACUUACAGAUGGACCCGCGGCGCAUUAGCUAGUUGGUGAGGUAACGGCUCACCAAGGCGACGAUGCGUAGCCGACCUGAGAGGGUGAUCGGCCACACUGGGACUGAGACACGGCCCAGACUCCUACGGGAGGCAGCAGUAGGGAAUCUUCCGCAAUGGACGAAAGUCUGACGGAGCAACGCCGCGUGAGUGAUGAAGGUUUUCGGAUCGUAAAGCUCUGUUGUUAGGGAAGAACAAGUACCGUUCGAAUAGGGCGGUACCUUGACGGUACCUAACCAGAAAGCCACGGCUAACUACGUGCCAGCAGCCGCGGUAAUACGUAGGUGGCAAGCGUUGUCCGGAAUUAUUGGGCGUAAAGGGCUCGCAGGCGGUUUCUUAAGUCUGAUGUGAAAGCCCCCGGCUCAACCGGGGAGGGUCAUUGGAAACUGGGGAACUUGAGUGCAGAAGAGGAGAGUGGAAUUCCACGUGUAGCGGUGAAAUGCGUAGAGAUGUGGAGGAACACCAGUGGCGAAGGCGACUCUCUGGUCUGUAACUGACGCUGAGGAGCGAAAGCGUGGGGAGCGAACAGGAUUAGAUACCCUGGUAGUCCACGCCGUAAACGAUGAGUGCUAAGUGUUAGGGGGUUUCCGCCCCUUAGUGCUGCAGCUAACGCAUUAAGCACUCCGCCUGGGGAGUACGGUCGCAAGACUGAAACUCAAAGGAAUUGACGGGGGCCCGCACAAGCGGUGGAGCAUGUGGUUUAAUUCGAAGCAACGCGAAGAACCUUACCAGGUCUUGACAUCCUCUGACAAUCCUAGAGAUAGGACGUCCCCUUCGGGGGCAGAGUGACAGGUGGUGCAUGGUUGUCGUCAGCUCGUGUCGUGAGAUGUUGGGUUAAGUCCCGCAACGAGCGCAACCCUUGAUCUUAGUUGCCAGCAUUCAGUUGGGCACUCUAAGGUGACUGCCGGUGACAAACCGGAGGAAGGUGGGGAUGACGUCAAAUCAUCAUGCCCCUUAUGACCUGGGCUACACACGUGCUACAAUGGACAGAACAAAGGGCAGCGAAACCGCGAGGUUAAGCCAAUCCCACAAAUCUGUUCUCAGUUCGGAUCGCAGUCUGCAACUCGACUGCGUGAAGCUGGAAUCGCUAGUAAUCGCGGAUCAG
rnacentral:rRNA from 1 species